GAAGUAAAAGUCGUAACAAGGUUUCCGUAGGUGAACCUGCGGAAGGAUCAUUAUCGUAUAAACCAAGAGGCGUUUUGGGCUGUCGCUGACAUAUGUCGUGCACGCCCCGAGCGUCCUCAAUUAUACAUCCAUCUCACCCUUUGUGCAUCGCCGCGUGGGCUCCCCUAUAAGGGGGGUCUACGUUUUUCCAUACAAACGUCGCUUUGGUAGUGAAUGUCGUUCUUUUGCGGUCACACGCAAUCAAUACAACUUUCAACAACGGAUCUCUUGGCUCUCGCAUCGAUGAAGAACGCAGCGAAAUGCGAUACGUAAUGUGAAUUGCAGAAUUCAGUGAAUCAUCGAAUCUUUGAACGCACCUUGCACCCCUUGGUAGUCCGAGGGGUACACCCGUUUGAGUGUCGUGAAAUCCUCAACCCCCUCGAUUGUGAGGAAGGCUUGGACUUUGGAGGCUUUUGCCGGCUCUUUGAAGGAGCCGGCUCCUCUUAAAUGGAUUAGCAGGGUCCUCUAUGCAGAUCCCUCGACGUGAUAAGAAUCCUCUCUACGUCCGAGGCUCGCUUUGGAGGCUCGCUUCUAAUUGUCUCUAUUUUGAACCCCUUGACCUCAAAUCGGGUGAGACUACCCGCUGAACUUAAGCAUAUCAAUAAGCGGAGGAAAUCUUCAG
rnacentral:rRNA from 1 species